ACAUCCCAACCUAACUCUUUCCUCCUCCUCUUCAGCCUCCUGCUCAGUCUUGCUCAGGAGGAAACUCAUGUUCUCCAGCUUCUCUAGCACAACGUUAGGAGUAGUAUUUAGGGCUCUCUCAGGAGGCACUCCUAAACACCCAGGUCCUCACUUUGAGGAUCUGGAAGAACAGCUUUCAAGGCUCAAAGUGACAUUGUGUUUUCAAAUGGAUAAUGAAGACACACAGCUCUGCAGUCGCCAUAUUCCUACCUCUCUGUGUGCUCACCGCAUUCCUCAAUGCUUUCUCUGAGGACAUGUGACCCACUGUCCACUGGAGACAUUUUCUUUUCUUUUUUUAAAGAUUUAUUUUAUUUUAAUUAUGUUUGUGUAUUUGCGACUCUUGUGGGUAUACCCAUAUAAGUCCAGUUGCCUGAGAGGUCCAGAGAUGUUCCAUUCCCUGGUACUGGAGUUGCAGGUGGUUGUGGCCCAUUCGGUGUGGGUACUGGGAACCAAACUUGGAUGCCUGAUAUCCAAAACAGAUGAAUGUGGCAUGGCAGACAAUGUCCACGAGGUUCUCCUGCUAACCCUGAGGAACCGUUACAAACUCGAAAGGCUCCUCUUACCAUGGCUUAGAAGCCAUUAUCAGACAGGAUGGCAGAGGGAACCAAAAGCCAUGUGCAACGCCUCAGCAGCUCUUCAUUCAAGAAUUGCAACUUCUCUUCAAUGACCUGCCCCUGAACCCAAGCUUCCUGGAACUCCCUCAAAACAGAGGAUGAAAGUGGCCUAGAGAGUCACUGGCUCCCCACUCCAUUGCUCAAUUUGUCCUUCGUAGUUCUCCCCAACAUCCUGGGAGCCUCUGGUCAAACGAAUUAGGGUCCUCGCCACUCCUUCCUCUAUCCAUCUGUGUGAGGGACUUAUGAAUGUCUAUAGCCUUGAUUUGUUUUUGGCUUGCUGAAGAUUAUAUAUAUCUUCACAAGGUAUAUACAUAUACAUGAAAAUAAGCUAGCUCUAUAAAAGUAUUAAACUAUUAUGUGUACUUUG
ensembl:antisense A530010F05Rik RIKEN cDNA A530010F05 gene